UUGUAAUGACACUAACUGUCAUCAUGGACCACCCUGGUCUUAUUUACGGAAAUCUAUGUUUCCAACCAGGCUUCCCCCACUUUUGCCACAGGGAAGGUUAUUAUUUAUAAUAAUAUUGACUACUAUUAUGGUGGUUAAUUGAACCAAUUUUUAAAUAGUUCAUAAAAUAAAGGAUUAUGAAAUGCACCAUCACUUAACUUUACAGUUAUAUUGCUAUGACGACCAC
rnacentral:misc_RNA from 1 species